AGUGAACGCUGGCGGUAGGCCUAACACAUGCAAGUCGAACGGCAGCACAGUAAGAGCUUGCUCUUACGGGUGGCGAGUGGCGGACGGGUGAGGAAUACAUCGGAAUCUACUUUUUCGUGGGGGAUAACGUAGGGAAACUUACGCUAAUACCGCAUACGACCUACGGGUGAAAGCAGGGGAUCUUCGGACCUUGCGCGAUUGAAUGAGCCGAUGUCGGAUUAGCUAGUUGGCGGGGUAAAGGCCCACCAAGGCGACGAUCCGUAGCUGGUCUGAGAGGGUGAUCGGCCACACUGGAACUGAGACACGGUCCAGACUCCUACGGGAGGCAGCAGUGGGGAAUAUUGGACAAUGGGCGCAAGCCUGAUCCAGCCAUACCGCGUGGGUGAAGAAGGCCUUCGGGUUGUAAAGCCCUUUUGUUGGGGAAGAAAAGCAGCAGGUUAAUACCCCGCUGUUCUGACGGUACCCAAAGAAUAAGCACCGGCUAACUUCGUG
rnacentral:rRNA from 1 species